AGAAGUUUUUUAGGAGCCGCUAACUACUUUUAAACAUUAAUUUGUUAACUUCUU
rnacentral:tRNA from 1 species